AUCCAAACAUUCAAUGUGCAAGAUGAAAAUUUUUGCCAGGGAUCUGUGACCUAGAUAUAUGUAACCUUGCACACACUUCCGAAUACGUUCGAGGAAGCUGCACCAUAUGAAUCAACGCGUUAUUAAUACGUAAUCAGCAAGUCUUAGGGCAUGUUUAGAUGGCAAACAAAAAUUACCCCAACAUAUCGUAUCGGAUGUACAAACACACAUUUAAAAUAUUAAACGUAGUGUAAUAAUAAAAUUUUGCCUAUAAACUGCGAGACGAAUUUAUUAAGCCUAAUUAACUUGUCAUUAGUAAAUGUUUACGGUAGCACCACAUUUUUUAUCAAAUAAUGACGCAAUUAGGCUUAAAAGAUUCGUCUUGCAAUUUACUGGCGAACUAUGUAAUUAUUUUUUUCUACAUUUAAUACUUCAUGCAUGUAUCUGAACAUUCAAUGUGACAGCGUGAAAAAUUUUAUUUGGGAAUUAAACAUAUCCUUAAUCAUCAGCACUUCAUCAAUAUAAAAGAACAACCCAGCGUCGACUAAUCCACUACACACCACGUGAUUUCCUCUCCCAAAUCCACCAACCGUCCUCCGGUCUCUCCUGUUCUUCGCUCGAUCCUCCAAUUUCCUCUCCCAAAUCAUCUCGAGUAGUAAUCAGUGUAUUUUGUUGCUUAUUUCGAUCGAUCUCAUCCCAACCUGUUCGAUCGUCGCCUCCGCCGAGUUUUGCUGCUCGAUCGGAUCGGUCAAAGCAGCACACCGGCCCGGCAAGCCAUGGAGCUGACGCUGCUGGUGUUCGUCCUCGUCGCGGCCUUCUCCUUCGUGAUCGGCACGGCCGUCACCACGGCGCCGGCGCCGCCAUGGCCAGCGGCGGCCUUCGCCGCCUACCUCUUCUGGGUCGUCGCCUCCGCCGCCGUCGCCCUGUUCGUCCGCCGCCCCGCCGCGUGAACACACACACCCUCACCAACUCCGGCCGGCCAAACUCAACUCGGAUCGAGAUCCAGCAAAGGGAUCCACCACAAGCGGCGCGCGGCAGCCGGCCGGUCGAUCGAUAACCAUUAUAUAUAUUCAUUUGGAAUGAUUACUAAUGCUGCAGGUCAAUAUAUAUCAAGAUGCUGUGUUAUAUUUGGUGAAUAUAUUGCGAGUUCUUCGUCAGGGAGAGACGGACAAUCAAAUUGUCGUCUCGUCUUUUCGAUCAAAGUGGAGGUGCUGGUGGAUCAUAGUUAAAUUCGCAAGUCUGCGCAUUCAUGAAUGCCUGAAAAAUCGAAAAGAGGAAAUAUUUAUUAUCUUAGAAUGUUAUAUGCAUGUAAAUUUGGAUGUUGUGAUUAUCUCGGCAUCUUAUAAGAGUGGAUAAAAAAUAUUUAUAUACAGUACAGUACAUGUUGCUUGGCUAUUUGUGGAUUUACGAUUGCUUGUGGUUAGUGUUUUUUUAAAUAGAAAUUGUUGUAUUGUUUUCGAGUUAAUUGGCUAUUGUGGUUUUUGUAAAGAAAUGGGGUACAUGUAUCUUUUAUUCUUUUUUUUAA